rnacentral:rRNA from 1 species
GACGAACGCUGGCGGCGUGCCUAAUACAUGCAAGUUGAACGCUAAAGCUUUAACUGGUGCUUGCACCGACUUAAGUUUUUAGAGUAGCGGACGGGUGAGUAACACGUGGGUAACCUGCCCAUCAGAGGGGGAUAACACUUGGAAACAGGUGCUAAUACCGCAUAAUUCCUUUUACCGCAUGGUAAAAGGCUGAAAGGCGCUUCUGGUGUCACUGAUGGAUGGACCCGCGGUGCAUUAGCUAGUCGGUGGGGUAACGGCCUACCGAGGCGAUGAUGCAUAGCCGACCUGAGAGGGUGAUCGGCCACAUUGGGACUGAGACACGGCCCAAACUCCUACGGGAGGCAGCAGUAGGGAAUCUUCCACAAUGGACGAAAGUCUGAUGGAGCAACGCCGCGUGAGUGAAGAAGGGUUUCGGCUCGUAAAACUCUGUUGUUAAAGAAGAACAGGUGUAAGAGUAACUGUUUACACCGUGACGGUAUUUAACCAGAAAGCCACGGCUAACUACGUGCCAGCAGCCGCCGUAACAC